rnacentral:rRNA from 1 species
GCUUGCACCUUUCAAGCGAGUGGCGAACGGGUGAGUAACACGUGGAUAACCUGCCUCAAGGCUGGGGAUAACAUUUGGAAACAGAUGCUAAUACCGAAUAAAACUUAGUAUCGCAUGAUAUCAAGUUAAAAGGCGCUACGGCGUCACCUAGAGAUGGAUCCGCGGUGCAUUAGUUAGUUGGUGGGGUAAAGGCUUACCAAGACGAUGAUGCAUAGCCGAGUUGAGAGACUGAUCGGCCACAUUGGGACUGAGACACGGCCCAAACUCCUACGGGAGGCUGCAGUAGGGAAUCUUCCACAAUGGGCGCAAGCCUGAUGGAGCAACGCCGCGUGUGUGAUGAAGGCUUUCGGGUCGUAAAGCACUGUUGUAUGGGAAGAAAUGCUAAAAUAGGGAAUGAUUUUAGUUUGACGGUACCAUACCAGAAAGGGACGGCUAAAUACGUGCCAGCAGCCGCGGUAAUACGUAUGUCCCGAGCGUUAUCCGGAUUUAUUGGGCGUAAAGCGAGCGCAGACGGUUGAUUAAGUCUGAUGUGAAAGCCCGGAGCUCAACUCCGGAAUGGCAUUGGAAACUGGUUAACUUGAGUGUUGUAGAGGUAAGUGGAACUCCUUUGUUAAAGCCG